rnacentral:rRNA from 1 species
UACGUAGGGUGCGAGCGUAAUCGGAAUUACUGGGCGUAAAGCGUGCGCAGGCGGUGAUGUAAGACCGAUGUGAAAUCCCCGGGCUUAACCUGGGAAUGGCCUAUGUGACUGGCAGGCUAGAGGAUGGCAGAGGGAGGCGGAAUUCCACGUGUAGCAGUGAAAUGCGUAGAGAUGUGGAGGAACACCGAUGGCGAAGGCAGCCCCCUGGGCUGAGAUUGACGCUCAGGCACGAAAGCGUGGGGAGCAAACAGG